CGCCAUCAGAGACGCACUCACACUGACGACAUGGUUCUACAGAAACCAGGAUUAGAUACCCUAUUAUAUUUAAUUGAAAUUAAGUAAAUCUUGAUUAUUAACAGAUAUAUUCUUUAAAAUCAAAGAAUUUGGCGGUAUUUUAGUCUUUUUAGAGGAACCUGUUUUAUAAUCGAUAAACCACGUAGAAUUUUACUUAUUUAAUUAGUUUGUAUACCGUCAUUAUUAGAUAACUUUUAUAGAAAUAGAUAUUAAAAUUUAAAAUUUAGAGAAUAUUAGAUCAAGGUGCAGCUUGUAGGUAAGGAAAAAUGGGUUACAAUAAUAUUUAUUAAACGGAUUUUAAUGUUAAAUUGUUAAAUGAAGGUGGAUUUAAUUGUAUAUUUUUUUAAUAAGGGGGGUUGAUAUUAGCUCUAGAAUAUGUACAUAUCGCCCGUCGCUAGACCAAGUCUCUGCUACCGUAGAGUGCGUCUCUGAGCGGGCUGG
rnacentral:rRNA from 1 species